GGGUCUUUAGCUCAGCAGUAGAGCGGCAGACUUCGGCAAUAUCUGAAGUUACGUUUCGACGUGUAUUCUGCAGGUCGCGGGUUCAAUCCCCGUAGGACUCU
rnacentral:tRNA from 2 species